rnacentral:misc_RNA from 1 species
GUGAAUCAUCGAAUUUUUGAACGCAAAUUGCACUCCCUGGUAUUCCGGGGAGUAUGCCUGUUUGAGGGUCGUUAGAAUAAAAAAUCGAGGCGUCGCUCUUUUUUUAAGGGUGGACCGCGUCGGAAUGGAGCCGUCUUUCAAAUGUUAAUUCAUGUCAAGUUGGCUUGAAAUUCAUCCAUCGGGUACGAUUAAAGCGUAUUUAAGAUCAAUCUUGAUUAAGACCGGGCGUUGACGUACAAUCUAAUGUAGUA